AUAGAUCCCAAAUAUUAUUUCAAUGUGUAAUCAAUAUAAAAAUUAUCGAGAUAGUUUACAUUCUCUUUUUGUCCCCUCAGUGAGUCCCGAGUCUUCAAAAUCGAGUGUGUAUUUUGCACUUCCAGCACAUCUCCAUUUGUGCUGGCCACGUUUCAAUGCUCAGAAGCCACAUGUCAUAGUGGCCGUGGCACUGGGCAACGCAGACCUGACACGUCGGGUGCAUUCAGCAGGUGGAUUAGCAAGAGGCUGCCUGGCUGACCCCAGCUCUCAGAAGGGCUCUCAGGGUGACCUGCUCCGACUAUUGGGAGGUAAGUGCUUCCUGGAGGAAGGAGAAAAAGGAAAUUAAGGUAAAAGCGGUCACCCCAAAAAGAGCUUUUAUGGGGGCUUUUAUAUCCUGGGAGCAAUACAGGUUGUUUAAAAUGAGGUUUGAGAGGGACUGCAUUCUACAUGUGUUAACACUACAGGACAGCCUUGGUGAGCCAUUCUCACUGUGGAAUGAACUUGUCCCCCAAGAUCUGACAAGCUGGAAAUGACUGAAUAAUGGAAUUAAGGCCUUUAUCAACAGUUACAUUAGACCUUCGAAGAGACUAAUUACCAUAGUGUGUUCUGGAUCAUGUUUGAUCCAGAGGUGGACUCUGCCCAGGUCAUAGAGGAAGUUGGCACAGAUUACAAUCUUUGCAGGCCCCCAUUCUAAAAAAUGGUGUUCCCAAAGUUGCCGCAUUCAAUCGAUAUUUCGUGCCAUGCUGCUCAGUGCAGUGGACCAGUGGCUAAUAAACUUGUCCUUAUCCAUAAGCCACCGUAUUAGGUGACUCUGUCUGGGCCAGGAACCAAGGCGUGCUAUGAUUUCAGAGACUGGAUUCCUAUCACCUGGGGAAGAGACACGCUCUGGUGACGUAAGAAAGCGGAGAAAUCAACCAUCACCAAAACCUGCAGACUCUGAAAUUAAAGGAGAAAAUAUGCGUGCAGUUGGUUCAAUUGGCACCCAUUAAAGCUAAUAACUAAUCAUCCUCGCAAGUUUCUAGCUCAGAAUGAUCAAAUCUGCAAAGAAAACAACAUCCGUCCACUUUUACACUCCAGUGGAAGAGGUGGUCCCUCGCGGCAGGGCGGCACAGUCUCGCCAUCUGGAGAAUAAAUCGAGUGUGAAGUACAGUAUAGUUUGGGACCAAGCUCCGUGGCGGCAGCUCAGCAGUCAGUUCAUUAGUUCCAAACUUCCAGGGAUUAGAGCGGCAUCAAUUCUACUGUCGGAUAGGAUGAGACAGACAGGAUACGAGAUUCAAGGGGGAUUGUGACAACCAAGAGGAGCCCCUUGGGCUUAUUUAUAAAACUACAAAGUAUAAACAUACCCAAAUAAGUGCCUUAAAUAAUAGCAUUAUCACAGUUUCAUAACAUCUGAAUUAUCACCUUUCCCUUCGCCUCCCAGCCCCCGACUCAAACCUUGAAUGUUAAUGUAUAGUUGUUUUCAGAGGAAAUGGCAGAGACAGCCCUGGGUGCAACAGGAACAACGAGAAAGCUAUGUGCGACCCAAGAUUUGGUAAUUAAGAAAUAGGAAAGACUUUCUAGACUCCAGGGAGAUCCACAACAUUUGUGAUGAAAGAAAAGUACAAUGAAUAUUUUCAUCCUGCAAAAGGCAAUUGCCAUGCCACGUAUUCAAAAACGACAGUAAAUUCUAUCCCUUCUGAAUGUGUCCAUCUCAUCUGAUUUUCAUUUUAUCUAAUGUGUAAAAUGAUGUCAUGUCACGGGCAUGAAGUGGUCCAAAUUUUUAGCAGAAGGCCCCAGGAGCAUCUCUAUGAAAAUCUUAUUGAAAAUGUCAAGAUCAAGUUUGGUUUAAAAUAAAAAACGGAAUGAAUUUAUUCUAUUUAAGGACUGCCUUUUUCAUAUAACUUUUUAUCAAUUUGUAUUUAAAAACAGCAUUGCUUAGGACAUAGACCAUCCUCACC
rnacentral:lncRNA from 1 species